UAUGUUAUUAUUCUUCGUUGGUUCGUUAAAAAUGGAUAAAUAAAAACUUUGCAUACAAGAAUUAAUAAAAAUGUUAUAACGAAUUUAAUUAAAUGUUUUAUCAUUAUAUAUAAAGAAUUUAUGGCAAGAUAAAGUUAUAUACAACCUCAACUCAUAUGGGACUACCCCCUGAAUUUAAGCAUAUUAAUUAGGGGAGGAAAAGAAACUAACAAGGAUUUUCUUAGUAGCGGCGAGCGAAAAGAAAACAGUUCAGCACUAAGUCACUUUGUCUAUAUGGCAAAUGUGAGAUGCAGUGUAUGGAGCGUCAAUAUUCUAGUAUGAGAAAUUAACGAUUUAAGUCCUUCUUAAAUGAGGCCAUUUACCCAUAGAGGGUGCCAGGCCCGUAUAACGUUAAUGAUUACUAGAUGAUGUUUCCAAAGAGUCGUGUUGCUUGAUAGUGCAGCACUAAGUGGGUGGUAAACUCCAUCUAAAACUAAAUAUAACCAUGAGACCGAUAGUAAACAAGUACCGUGAGGGAAAGUUGAAAAGAACUCUGAAUAGAGAGUUAAACAGUACGUGAAACUGCUUAGAGGUUAAGCCCGAUGAACCUGAAUAUCCGUUAUGGAAAAUUCAUCAUUAAAAUUGUAAUAUUUAAAUAAUAUUAUGAGAAUAGUGUGCAUUUUUUCCAUAUAAGGACAUUGUAAUCUAUUAGCAUAUACCAAAUUUAUCAUAAAAUAUAACUUAUAGUUUAUUCCAAUUAAAUUGCUUGCAUUUUAACACAGAAUAAAUGUUAUUAAUUUGAUAAAGUGCUGAUAGAUUUAUAUGAUUACAGUGCGUUAAUUUUUCGGAAUUAUAUAAUGGCAUAAUUAUCAUUGAUUUUUGUGUUUAUUAUAUGCACUUGUAUGAUUAAACAAUGCGAAAGAUUCAGGAUACCUUCGGGACCCGUCUUGAAACACGGACCAAGGAGUCUAACAUAUGUGCAAGUUAUUGGGAUAUAAACCUAAUAGCGUAAUUAACUUGACUAAUAAUGGGAUUAGUUUUUUAGCUAUUUAUAGCUAAUUAACACAAUCCCGGGGCGUUCUAUAUAGUUAUGUAUAAUGUAUAUUUAUAUUAUUUAUGCCUCUAACUGGAACGUACCUUGAGCAUAUAUGCUGUGACCCGAAAGAUGGUGAACUAUACUUGAUCAGGUUGAAGUCAGGGGAAACCCUGAUGGAAGACCGAAACAGUUCUGACGUGCAAAUCGAUUGUCAGAAUUGAGUAUAGGGGCGAAAGACCAAUCGAACCAUCUAGUAGCUGGUUCCUUCCGAAGUUUCCCUCAGGAUAGCUGGUGCAUUUUAAUAUUAUAUAAAAUAAUCUUAUCUGGUAAAGCGAAUGAUUAGAGGCCUUAGGGUCGAAACGAUCUUAACCUAUUCUCAAACUUUAAAUGGGUAAGAACCUUAACUUUCUUGAUAUGAAGUUCAAGGUUAUGAUAUAAUGUGCCCAGUGGGCCACUUUUGGUAAGCAGAACUGGCGCUGUGGGAUGAACCAAACGUAAUGUUACGGUGCCCAAAUUAACAACUCAUGCAGAUACCAUGAAAGGCGUUGGUUGCUUAAAACAGCAGGACGGUGAUCAUGGAAGUCGAAAUCCGCUAAGGAGUGUGUAACAACUCACCUGCCGAAGCAACUAGCCCUUAAAAUGGAUGGCGCUUAAGUUGUAUACCUAUACAUUACCGCUAAAGUAGAUGAUUUAUAUUACUUGUGAUAUAAAUUUUGAAACUUUAGUGAGUAGGAAGGUACAAUGGUAUGCGUAGAAGUGUUUGGCGUAAGCCUGCAUGGAGCUGCCAUUGGUACAGAUCUUGGUGGUAGUAGCAAAUAAUCGAAUGAGACCUUGGAGGACUGAAGUGGAGAAGGGUUUCGUGUGAACAGUGGUUGAUCACGAGUUAGUCGGUCCUAAGUUCAAGGCGAAAGCCGAAAAUUUUCAAGUAAAACAAAAAUGCCUAACUAUAUAAACAAAGCGAAUUAUAAUACACUUGAAUAAUUUUGAACGAAAGGGAAUACGGUUCCAAUUCCGUAACCUGUUGAGUAUCCGUUUGUUAUUAAAUAUGGGCCUCGUGCUCAUCCUGGCAACAGGAACGACCAUAAAGAAGCCGUCGAGAGAUAUCGGAAGAGUUUUCUUUUCUGUUUUAUAGCCGUACUACCAUGGAAGUCUUUCGCAGAGAGAUAUGGUAGAUGGGCUAGAAGAGCAUGACAUAUACUGUUGUGUCGAUAUUUUCUCCUCGGACCUUGAAAAUUUAUGGUGGGGACACGCAAACUUCUCAACAGGCCGUACCAAUAUCCGCAGCUGGUCUCCAAGGUGAAGAGUCUCUAGUCGAUAGAAUAAUGUAGGUAAGGGAAGUCGGCAAAUUAGAUCCGUAACUUCGGGAUAAGGAUUGGCUCUGAAGAUUGAGAUAGUCGGGCUUGAUUGGGAAACAAUAACAUGGUUUAUGUGCUCGUUCUGGGUAAAUAGAGUUUCUAGCAUUUAUGUUAGUUACUUGUUCCCCGGAUAGUUUAGUUACGUAGCCAAUUGUGGAACUUUCUUGCUAAAAUUUUUAAGAAUACUAUUUGGGUUAAACCAAUUAGUUCUUAUUAAUUAUAACGAUUAUCAAUUAACAAUCAAUUCAGAACUGGCACGGACUUGGGGAAUCCGACUGUCUAAUUAAAACAAAGCAUUGUGAUGGCCCUAGCGGGUGUUGACACAAUGUGAUUUCUGCCCAGUGCUCUGAAUGUCAAAGUGAAGAAAUUCAAGUAAGCGCGGGUCAACGGCGGGAGUAACUAUGACUCUCUUAAGGUAGCCAAAUGCCUCGUCAUCUAAUUAGUGACGCGCAUGAAUGGAUUAACGAGAUUCCUACUCCCUCGAAUGGAGUGCCAGAACCCGUUGGUGUGCUGGAGGAGACGUUUUCAUCGCUGGAGGAUGCCCGGGCGGCUACGUCAAGCGCUGCCAACGAUGCUGCCCCCCCCGCUGCUGCCCCCGCUGUUGAUCACACUGUUGCCCCUGAUGUUUCCACUGCUGCUAAAAUCGCUGCCACCACUGCCACCGCUGCCACCGCUGCCGCCCGUGCUGGGCAAGCAGCCAUGAUGGCAGAGCUGUCGGCCACCCAGCGCAUUGGUGCGAAACAGUUUCCGCAGCCUAGGAGGCGUAGACACGGAAGAGCUCUCGUGUGCCAUCAGCCGCUAUGAUGAGCUGGUGAUGGCAUUAAUGCUCCGGUGUGGAGAACUGGAGACGCGGCUCGCUAUGCCACCACCGCCGCCGCCGCCGUCCAAGGCGAACACUACUGCCGCCAAUGCUCCCCAGAUGCCUCAGGUUGCACCCAUCGCUGCCCGCGGACAACCAAGGUUCGGGAGACGUGGUCAGCGGUGGUGAAGUGCGACGACCCUGCGCUAUCGGGGAAAGCCAUAGCCGAAAAGGUGCGGACGAUGGUUGCACCCUCCCUCGGAGUCAGAGUACACGAGGUACGUGAGCUCCGUCGAGGUGGUGGUGCGAUCAUUCGUACUCCUUCGGUUGGAGAGCUGCAGAAGGUGAUGGCAUCGAAAAGAUUCGCAGAACUUGGACUGAAUGUGGCACGGAACGCGGCCGAGAAGCCGAAGGUCAUAGUCUAUGACGUCGACACAGCCAUCGGCCCAGAA
rnacentral:rRNA from 1 species